ACGUGUGAAAGCAGCAGAAUCACUAUCAUUCCCCAGCUUGUUCUUCACUUUCCCCAAAACGUUUGCAAUGAAUCAGUAAAAUGUGGCAUUGGCCAUCAGUGCAGUUCUCACAAACUGAAGCUGUGUGUGAUGAGAUCCGCUUCUUCUUAGACGCUGGAACACACUGUCCCACCAACACUGGAACUGGAUCCCUCUAGAUCCGUUUUACCACAAUGAUGAUUGUAGAGGAGAGUGAGACAAACUUUCGCUUGGCUCCGAAGCGAAAGCUUAAUUCAUAAGCAAAGAAAGACACAUCAUCCCCUCCUGUGAGCAGCAAAGCCGACGAUCACAAUCAAGAGAUAAAUGAUUUUUAAUUUAGUGAGAGUGUGUGUGUGUGUGAGUACUUGUUUAUCUAUCUAACGGGACCACGGUGCCAUUACACAUUUAUACCAACAAAGCCAAGUUUUAUGGGUUAAAUCAAGCAGAAAUAUCUCUUUAAGGUAAUGUCAAGAGAAAUGGAGUGUUCUCUUCCAAACAAUUUGAUAAAGAUUUACAUGAUAAGAAAAGGGAAAAUGUGCUUCAAAAGUGAAUAUAAAAAUUGGGCUCUUAGAGCUCUUGAGUGUGUGUAGAAGAUCUGUUGAAUAUAGAAAGAGUUUACAAGCAAGCAGCAAGCAGAAGCCAGCUCCAGACCACAACCCUCAGAACAUCAAAGAACACACAUGAUUUUUUACAGAAGAACAUAUAUUGAGUAGAGAAGAUGGUAAGCUUUAAAAUAUAAUUGUUUAUUCUGGCCCAUGGAACUUCCAGCUUAGCUGCUAUAGAGUGGUGUAUCUAGCUUUUGCCUUUGCAAGAAAUAAUAAAAUGAGAAUGAGGACUGCCCUCAAACACUGA